rnacentral:rRNA from 1 species
UACGUAGGGUGCGAGCGUUAAUCGGAAUUACUGGGCGUAAAGCGUGCGCAGGCGGUGAUGUAAGACAGGUGUGAAGUCCCCGGGCUUAACCUGGGAACUGCAUUUGUGACUGCAUCGCUGGAGUGCGGCAGAGGGGGAUGGAAUUCCGCGUGUAGCAGUGAAAUGCGUAGAUAUGCGGAGGAACACCGAUGGCGAAGGCAAUCCCCUGGGCCUGCACUGACGCUCAUGCACGAAAGCGUGGGGAGCAAACAGG